rnacentral:rRNA from 1 species
UACGUAGGGUGCAAGCGUUGUCCGGAAUUAUUGGGCGUAAAGAGCUCGUAGGCGGUUUGUCGCGUCUGCUGUGAAAACCGGAGGCUCAACCUCCGGCCUGCAGUGGGUACGGGCAGACUAGAGUGCGGUAGGGGAGAUUGGAAUUCCUGGUGUAGCGGUGGAAUGCGCAGAUAUCAGGAAGAACACCCGUGGCGAAGGCGGCUCUCUGGAACGCAACUGACGCUGAGACGCGAAAGCGUGGGGAGCAAACAGG